AGGCUGCUUCUCGGAAGCGCGCCACCCGACCGAGUCCCAUGCCCAUCGAGGAUGAGUGCUCUCGAGAUUUCGAUACACAAAUAUGCGAAGCAGCCUAACAAGAGUGUCGUUAGGCCUGAUCUGGGGCUCAGUUUCGAUUCGCUUAGCGAGGCAUAUGACUUCUACAACCUAUAUUCUUGGGAAGUCAGUUUCGGAAUAAGAUAUGGAAAGAGUAGACUCAAAGCCGAGCGGACGAAAACCAUGCAGGAAAUUGUUUGUGGUUGCUCGGGGGAACCUGAAUCCGAAAACAGUAGGUCCUGUAGAUGUGAGUGCCCUGCUCUAAUCAGGCUGCUGCGUGCAUCGGACAACAACUGGUACAUAACAGAGUAUCGAGCGAGUCACAACCAUUCGAUGUCUCUGACAAUGGGAGAGAAGGUGCACUGGCCUUCUCAUAAGCACAUUGAUGUACACACCAAGGAUUUGAUAAAGCAACUAAGGGAAAACAAUGUUAACCUUGGGAAGGUUUACAACAUUAUUGGGAGCUUCUUUGGGUCAGUCGAGAAGGUACCUUUCACAAAAAGGACGCUGAGAAACAUUUGUGGGAAGAUUAGCCGUGAGCAAGCUGAGGACGAUGUCCGGAAAACACUUCAUGCAUUUGCUGACAUCCAGGCCAACGAUCUAGGAUUUACCUAUGUAGUGUUGGCAGAGAAAGACAACAAGAUUAGAAACCUCAUGCGGGCUAAUGGCAGCAGCCGGAUGCAAUACAAAUUCUUUGGUGACAUUCGACAGGGGUUUUGA
rnacentral:rRNA from 1 species